GGAAGGAUCAUUAUCGUAUAAUCGAGGUACGAGGGCUGUCGCUGACCCUUUAAAAGGUUGUGCACGCCCGAGCGCUCUCUCACAUGUCCAUCUCACCCCUUGUGCAUCACCGCGUGGGUCUCCCCUUUCAAAAGGGGGGGCUUACGUUUUUAAACACAGACACCCAUUAAUAGUGUAGAAUGUCCUUUUAUGCGGUCACACGCAAUCAAUACAACUUUCAACAACGGAUCUCUUGGCUCUCGCAUCGAUGAAGAACGCAGCGAAAUGCGAUACGUAAUGUGAAUUGCAGAAUUCAGUGAAUCAUCGAAUCUUUGAACGCACCUUGCGCCCCUUGGCAUUCCGAGGGGCACACCCGUUUGAGUGUCGUGAAAUCCUCAACCUUCUUGAUUUCUUGAUCAGGAAGGCUUGGAAUUUGGAGGUUCAUGCUGGGCCUCCCUUGAAGCCAGCUCCUCUUAAAUGAAUUAGUGGGGUCCACUUUGCCGAUCCUUGACGUGAUAAGAUGCUUCUACGUCUUGGGUUUUGCAUUUGGGAAUCCGCUUCUAACCGUCUCGUUGGAGACUGACUCACAAAACCUUGACCUCAAAUCGGGUGAGACUACCCGCUGAACUUAAGCAUAUCAAUAAGCGGAGGAAAAGAAACUAACAAGGAUUCCCCUAGUAACUGCGAGUGAAGCGGGAAAAGCUCAAAUUUAAAAUCUGGUGGUCUUUUGACCAUCCGAGUUGUAAUUUAGAGAAGCGUCUUCCGCGCUGGACCAUGCAUAAGUCUCCUGGAAUGGAGCGUCAUAGAGGGUGAGAAUCCCGUCUUUGGCAUGGAACCCCAGGGCUUCUGUGAUGCGCUCUCGAAGAGUCGAGUUGUUUGGGAAUGCAGCUCAAAAUGGGUGGUGAACUCCAUCUAAAGCUAAAUAUUGGCGAGAGACCGAUAGCGAACAAGUACCGUGAGGGAAAGAUGAAAAGCACUUUGGAAAGAGAGUGAAACAGUACGUGAAAUUGUUGAAAGGGAAACGCUUAAAGUCAGUCGCGUCGACCGAGACUCAGCCUUGCCUCGGCUUGGUGUAUUUCUCGGCAGACGGGUCAGCAUCAAUUUUGUCCCUCGGAUAAUGGCAAGGGAAAGGUGGCACCUUUACAGGUGUGUUAUAGUCUCCUGUCACAUGCGAGGGGUGGGAUUGAGGAACUCAGCACGCGCCUUUUGGUGCCGGGGCUUCGGCUCACGCUACGUGCUUAGGAUGCUGGCGUAAUGGCUUUAAACGACCCGUCUUGAAACACGGACCAAGGAGUCUAACAUGCCCGCGAGUGUUCGGGUGGAAAACCCGUGCGCGUAAUGAAAGUGAAAGUUGGGACCUCUGUCGUGGAGGGCACCGACGCCCGGACCAGACCUUCUGUGACGGAUCUGCGGUGGAGCGUGUAUGUUGGGACCCGAAAGAUGGUGAACUAUGCCUGAAUAGGGUGAAGCCAGAGGAAACUCUGGUGGAGGCUCGUAGCGAUUCUGACGUGCAAAUCGAUCGUCAAAUUUGGGUAUAGGGGCGAAAGACUAAUCGAACCAUCUAGUAGCUGGUUCCUGC
rnacentral:misc_RNA from 1 species